rnacentral:rRNA from 1 species
GGGAAAGUUGCAAAGUACUUUGAAGAGAGAGUUCAAGAGGACGUGAAACCGAUAGGAUGGAAGCAGAUGAAGUUGACGAACGAGUGUUGUAUUCAGAGCUGCAUCUUGUGUGCGGUUUGUUCUUGCAACCGAUGUGGGCCGGCGGCUCUGGUUAAUGCACUGUGCCAAUCGUCGAUGGUGACCCUGCGGAGGGAUAAUCGGUCGGCGUGCGGUGCGUGGUAUAGCUAGAGUUUCGCCGGUCUUGAAGUCAGCGCCUCAUCUGACCCGUCUUGAAACACGGACCAAGGAGUGUAGCGUUUACGCGAGUCUUAGAGUGUUUGAAAACUUUGAGGCGCAACGAAAGUGAAUGCAGCUUGAUCUGCUGACUUGGGAUGCGUUGUCUCUUGUGGACGGCGUCGGACCAAGGUUUUAUCGCGAUCGCUUGCGAUGCGGUGAAAAUAGAGCGUAAACGGUGCGACCCGAAAGAUGGUGAACUAUGCCUGAGCAGGAUGAAGCCGGAGGAAACUCUGGUGGAAGUCCGAAGCGGUUCUGACGUGCAAAUCGAUCGUCUGACUUGGGUAUAGGGGCGAAAGACUAAUCGAACCAUCUAGUA